rnacentral:rRNA from 1 species
AGAGCGAACGCUGGCGGCAGGCCUAACACAUGCAAGUCGAGCGCCCCGCAAGGGGAGCGGCAGACGGGAGAGUAACACGUGGGAACGUGCCCUUUGGUUCGGAACAACACAGGGAAACUUGUGCUAAUACCGGAUAAGCCCUUACGGGGAAAGAUUUAUCGCCAAAGGAUCGGCCCGCGUCUGAUUAGCUAGUUGGUGAGGUAACGGCUCACCAAGGCUACGAUCAGUAGCUGGUCUGAGAGGAUGAUCAGCCUCACUGGGACUGAGACACGGCCCAGACUCCUACGGGAGGCAGCAGUGGGGAAUAUGGACAAUGGCGCAAGCCUGAUCCAGCCAUGCCGCGUGGGUGAUGAAGGCCCUAGGGUUGUAAAGCCCUUUCGGCGGGGAAGAUAAUGACGGUACCCGCAGAAGAACGCCCGGCUAACUUCGUGCCAGCAGCCGC